UAGCAACAUCCUUGAUUCCUUAUGUUG
rnacentral:sRNA from 1 species